GACGUAGGGCGCGAGCGUUGUCCGGAUUUAUUGGGCGUAAAGAGCUCGUAGGCGGCUUGGCAAGUCGGGUGUGAAAACUUCAGGCUCAACCUGGAGCGGCCACUCGAUACUGCCAUGGCUUGAGUCCGGUAGGGGACCACGGAAUUCCUGGUGUAGCGGUGAAAUGCGCAGAUAUCAGGAGGAACACCGGCGGUGUAGACGGCUCUCUGGACCGUAACUGACGCUGAGACACGAAAGCGUGGGGAGCAAACAGG
rnacentral:rRNA from 1 species